rnacentral:rRNA from 1 species
AUUGAACGCUGGCGGCAGGCCUAACACAUGCAAGUCGAACGGAGUCGCGGACGGGUGAGUAACGCGUAGGUAACUGCCUCAUAGCGGGGGAUAACUAUUGGAAACGAUAGCUAAUACCGCAUACUGUGUAAUGUACCUGCGUUGUGUUAGCUAGUUGGUGAGGUAAGGGCACACCAAGGCGCCGAUACAUAGCCGACCUGAGAGGUUGAUCGGCCAAACUGGGACAGAGAAAGGGCCCAGACUCCUACGGUAGGAAGCAGUAGGGAAUCUUCGGAAAUGGACGGAAGUCUGACCGAGCAACGCCGCGGGAGUGAAGAAGGUUUUCGGAUCGGAAAGCUAUGUUGUUAGAGAAGCGGUAACUAACCAGAAAGGGACGGCUAACUACGUGCCAGCAGCCGCGGUAAUAC